rnacentral:rRNA from 1 species
AGCGAACGCUGGCGGCAGGCUUAACACAUGCAAGUCGAGCGGGCGUAGCAAUACGUCAGCGGCAGACGGGUGAGUAACGCGUGGGAACAUACCUUUUGGUUCGGAACAACACAGGGAAACUUGUGCUAAUACCGGAUAAGCCCUUACGGGGAAAGAUUUAUCGCCGAAAGAUUGGCCCGCGUCUGAUUAGCUAGUUGGUGAGGUAAUGGCUCACCAAGGCGACGAUCAGUAGCNGGUCUGAGAGGAUGAUCAGCCACAUUGGGACUGAGACACGGCCC